rnacentral:rRNA from 1 species
UACAGGGGGGGCAAGCGUUGUUCGGAAUUACUGGGCGUAAAGGGUUUGUAGGUGGCUUGCUAAGUCAGACGUGAAAUCCCUCAGCUUAACUGGGGAACUGCGUCUGAUACUGGCGAGCUUGAGUGCAGGAGAGGAACGCGGAAUUCCAGGUGUAGCGGUGAAAUGCGUAGAUAUCGGAAGGAACACCAGUGGCGAAAGCGGCUUCCUGGUCCAGCACCGACGUUCAGGCACGAAAGCGUGGGGAGCAAACAGG